rnacentral:rRNA from 1 species
AGUGAACGCUGGCGGUAGGCCUAACACAUGCAAGUCGAACGGCAGCACAGUAAGAGCUUGCUCUUACGGGUGGCGAGUGGCGGACGGGUGAGGAAUACAUCGGAAUCUACUUUUUCGUGGGGGAUAACGUAGGGAAACUUACGCUAAUACCGCAUACGACCUACGGGUGAAAGCAGGGGAUCUUCGGACCUUGCGCGAUUGAAUGAGCCGAUGUCGGAUUAGCUAGUUGGCGGGGUAAAGGCCCACCAAGGCGACGAUCCGUAGCUGGUCUGAGAGGAUGAUCAGCCACCCUGGAACUGAGACACGGUCCAGACUACUACGGGAGGCAGCAGUGGGGAAUAUUGGACAAUGGGCGCAAGCCUGAUCCAGCCAUACCGCGUGGGUGAAGAAGGCCUUCGGGUUGUAAAGCCCUUUUGUUGGGAAAGAAAAGCAGCAGGUUAAUACCCCGCUGUUCUGACGGUACCCAAAGAAUAAGCACCGGCUAACUUCGUG